rnacentral:lncRNA from 1 species
GAAGGGCGACAUCCCCACCUACGUCUGCGGCGUCAAUGCCGACCAGUACAACCCCGACGAGCCCAUCAUCAGCAACGCCUCCUGCACCACCAACUGUCUCGCGCCCUUCGUCAAGGUCCUCGACCAGAAGUUCGGUGCGUGCUCCAUUAUAUAUGCUCUCUUCUGCAAUAUUGUAAUGAGUCCAUGUCCCGAUCAGGCUUGGCAUGACGAUGCUUACUAAGACCUAGCAAUUAAUAUGAUGCAUCGCAUCGCAGGCAUCAUCAAGGGCACCAUGACCACCACCCACUCCUACACCGGUGACCAGAGGCUGCUGGACGCCAGCCACCGCGACCUGCGCCGCGCCCGCGCCGCCGCGCUCAACAUCGUGCCCACCUCCACCGGCGCCGCCAAGGCCGUGGCGCUGGUGCUCCCCAACCUCAAGGGCAAGCUCAACGGGAUCGCGCUCCGGGUGCCCACCCCGAACGUCUCCGUCGUCGACCUCGUCGUGCAGGUCUCCAAGAAGACCCUCGCCGAGGAGGUGAACCAGGCGUUCCGCGACAGCGCCGCCAACGAGCUCGCCGGCAUCCUCGAGGUCUGCGACGCCCCGCUCGUGUCCGUCGACUUCAGGUGCUCCGACGUGUCCUCCACCGUCGACGCCUCGCUCACCAUGGUCAUGGGCGACGACAUGGUCAAGGUCAUCGCGUGGUACGACAACGAGUGGGGCUACUCGCAGAGGGUCGUCGACCUAGCUGACAUUGUCGCCAACAAUUGGAAGUGAAGCCUCGCAUUGUAAUAACCCAUCCUCGGCUUCAAAAUUUUCCCCAGGGUCUUCCCUGAUGAUAAUUUGUAAUGAGAAAUCGAGGACCCAAACUCCCAACAAUUCCUUUUAUUUUCU